rnacentral:rRNA from 1 species
UACGUAGGGUGCGAGCGUUGUCCGGAUUUAUUGGGCGUAAAGAGCUCGUAGGUGGUCUGUUGCGUCGGUUGUGAAAACCCGGGGCUUAACUCCGGGCCUGCAGUCGAUACGGGCAGACUAGAGUUCGGCAGGGGAGACUGGAAUUCCUGGUGUAGCGGUGAAAUGCGUAGAGAUCGGGAGGAACAUCAGUGGCGAAGGCGGCCAUCUGGGACAACACUGACGCUGAAGCACGAAAGCGUGGGGAGCAAACAGG